GAUGAACGCUAGCGGCAGGCCUAAUACAUGCAAGUCGAACGAGAUUACGAGGCUUGCUUCUUAUGAAAGUGGCGCACGGGUGCGUAACGCGUAUGCAACCUACCUUAAUCAGGGGGAUAGCCCGAAGAAAUUCGGAUUAAGACCGCAUAAAAACACAGGAUAGCAUUAUCCAAUGUUCAAAUAUUUAUAGGAUUAAGAUGGGCAUGCGUGUCAUUAGCUAGUUGGCGGGGUAACGGCCCACCAAGGCGACGAUGACUAGGGGAUCUGAGAGGAUGACCCCCUACAACUGUACUGCGGCACGGACCAGUAUCCUACGGGAGGCAGCAGUAAGGAAUAUUGGUCAAUGGAGGGAACUCUGAACCAGCCAUGCCGCGUGCAGGAAGACAGCCCUCUGGGUCGUAAACUGCUUUUAUUCGGGAAUAAACCUUUCUACGUGUAGGAAGCUGAAUGUACCGAAAGAAUAAGGAUCGGCUAACUCCGUG
rnacentral:rRNA from 1 species